UCAAACUUGGUCAUUUAGAGGAAGUAAAAGUCGUAACAAGGUCUCCGUUGGUGAACCAGCGGAGGGAUCAUUACAGAGUGUUUAUUCUACUCUUUUAACCCUUUGUGAACUUAUUCUGCUCUGUUGCUUCGGCAGGCGGGUGCUGGUUGAUGAGUUUUUGGCUCUUUGGAGCCGCAACUCGGAGGCGCCCCGCUUGGCCUUACUAGGCGCUCUCGAGCGCUUGGUGGGUGCCUGCCGGAGGCCAAUCUAGGCGCUGAUAUUUUACUACUGUAUUAUUUACUUAAUACUGUUUUAUUCAGAAACAAAAAUUUAAAUCAAAUUACAACUUUUAGCAAUGGAUCUCUUGGUUCUGACAUCGAUGAAGAACGCAGC
rnacentral:misc_RNA from 1 species